rnacentral:rRNA from 1 species
UAUCCUGUCUGAAUAUGGGGGGACCAUCCUCCAAGGCUAAAUACUCCUGACUGACCGAUAGUGAACCAGUACCGUGAGGGAAAGGCGAAAAGAACCCCGGCGAGGGGAGUGAAAAAGAACCUGAAACCGUGUACGUACAAGCAGUGGGAGCACCCUUUGGGGUGUGACUGCGUACCUUUUGUAUAAUGGGUCAGCGACUUAUAUUCUGUAGCAAGGUUAACCGAAUAGGGGAGCCGGAGGGAAACCGAGUCUUAAUUGGGCGUUAAGUUGCAGGGUAUAGACCCGAAACCCGGUGAUCUAGCCAUGGGCAGGUUGAAGGUUGGGUAACACUAACUGGAGGACCGAACCGACUAAUGUUGAAAAAUUAGCGGAUGACCUGUGGCUGGGGGUGAAAGGCCAAUCAAACCGGGAGAUAGCUGGUUCUCCCCGAAAGCUAUUUAGGUAGCGCCUCGUGAAUUCAUCUCCGGGGGUAGAGCACUGUUUCGGCUAGGGGGCCAUCCCGGCUUACCAACCCGAUGCAAACUGCGAAUACCGGAGAAUGUUAUCACGGGAGACACACGGCGGGUGCUAACGUCCGUCGUGAAGAGGGAAACAACCCAGACCGCCAGCUAAGGUCCCAAAGUCAUGGUUAAGUGGGAAACGAUGUGGGAAGGCCCAGACAGCCAGGAUGUUGGCUUAGAAGCAGCCAUCAUUUAAAGAAAGCGUAAUAGCUCACUGGUCGAGUCGGCCUGCGCGGAAGAUGUAACGGGGCUAAACCAUGCACCGAAGCUGCGGCAGCGACGCUGAUGCGUUGUUGGGUAGGGGAGCGUUCUGUAAGCCUGCGAAGGUGGCCUGUGAGGGUUGCUGGAGGUAUCAGAAGUGCGAAUGCUGACAUAAGUAACGAUAAAGCGGGUGAAAAGCCCGCUCGCCGGAAGACCAAGGGUUCCUGUCCAACGUUAAUCGGGGCAGGGUGAGUCGACCCCUAAGGCGAGGCCGAAAGGCGUAGUCGAUGGGAAACGGGUUAAUAUUCCCGUACUUGGUGUUACUGCGAAGGGGGGACGGAGAAGGCUAUGUUGGCCGGGCGACGGUUGUCCCGGUUUAAGCGUGUAGGUGUGUGUUCCAGGUAAAUCCGGUUCACUUUAACACUGAGGCGUGA